rnacentral:rRNA from 1 species
GAUGAACGCUGGCGGCGUGCCUAAUACACGCAAGUCGAGCGAAAAGAUGCGGCUCUUGUGCCUCUGUCGUUAGCGGAACACGGGUGAGUAACACGUGUAUAACGUACUUAUAAUACUGGGAACAUUUCGGGACACCGGCGCUAACACCGGAUAAUAUAUUGCACCGCAUGGGUCAAUAGUGAAAGACGGCGUUGGGGGAUGUACUAGAUGCAUCUGCGCCGCAUUGGCUAGUUGGUCCGGUAACGGCCUAUCAAGGCUACGAUGCGUAGCCGACGUGAGAGAGUGAUCGGCCACACGGGAGGUGAACCAGGGACCAGACGCCUACGGGAGGCAGUAGUAGGGAAUCGGACGCAAUGGGCGAAAGCCUGACGGAGCAACGGCGAGUGAGUGAUGGAGGUCUUCGGAUCGUAAAACUCUGUUAUUAGGGAAGAACAAAUGUGUAAGUAACUAUGCACGUAGUGACGGUACCUAAUAAGAAAGCCACGGCUAACUACGUG